UGAAGUGUGGACGCCAGUCUGCAUGGAGCCGGCCUUGAAAUACCACCCUUUAAUGUUUGAUGUUCUAACGUGGACCCGUGAUCCGGGUUGCGGACAGUGUCUGGUGGGUAGUUUGACUGGGGCGGUCUCCUCCUAAAGAGUAACGGAGGAGCACGAAGGUUGGCUAAUCCUGGUCGGACAUCAGGAGGUUAGUGCAAUGGCAUAAGCCAGCUUGACUGCGAGCGUGACGGCGCGAGCAGGUGCGAAAGCAGGUCAUAGUGAUCCGGUGGUUCUGAAUGGAAGGGCCAUCGCUCAACGGAUAAAAGGUACUCCGGGGAUAACAGGCUGAUACCGCCCAAGAGUUCAUAUCGACGGCGGUGUUUGGCACCUCGAUGUCGGCUCAUCACAUCCUGGGGCUGAAGUAGGUCCCAAGGGUAUGGCUGUUCGCCAUUUAAAGUGGUACGCGAGCUGGGUUUAGAACGUCGUGAGACAGUUCGGUCCCUAUCUGCCGUGGGCGCUGGAGAACUGAGGGGGGCUGCUCCUAGUACGAGAGGACCGGAGUGGACGCAUCACUGGUGUUCGGGUUGUCAUGCCAAUGGCACUGCCCGGUAGCUAAAUGCGGAAGAGAUAAGUGCUGAAAGCAUCUAAGCACGAAACUUGCCCCGA
rnacentral:rRNA from 2 species